rnacentral:rRNA from 1 species
UACAGAGGGUGCGAGCGUUAAUCGGAAUUACUGGGCGUAAAGCGCGCGUAGGCGGCUUUGCAAGUCGGGUGUGAAAUCCCCAGGCUUAACCUGGGAACUGCAUUCGAGACUGCAUUACUAGAGUAUGGGAGAGGGAAGUGGAAUUUCCGGUGUAGCGGUGAAAUGCGUAGGUAUCGGAAGGAACAUCAGUGGCGAAAGCGACUUCCUGGACCAAUACUGACGCUCAUGUGCGAAAGCGUGGGGAGCAAACAGG